CAACCUUAAGUGAUCAAUCAGGGAAAGUUAGCUUGAACGCAACAAAACUAUUAUAUUCAUUUGCUCUAAUAAGAAAACGCAUUUUAAGAUUUCAAAAUUGUAAGUCUUCAACUUACAAUGUACUUCAUCUACUUCUAAGGGCGCAAAUUGUUGGUGUGUCCAUACUUCUUCUUGCGACAGUUAUUAGCACGGGGAUGAAGACGAGCUUAUCACUUAGACACACACAACCAAAACUCGUUGACAAAUAGUGUACUUCGCGAGAAAAAAUUGUACUCAGCUGUUUACGGUACAUUACCUGGUAAUUAUGACAUUGAUGUUACAUAGGUACGUUUGCAGAGUGGGCGUCCUUGGGUUUGCUCUGCAAAUAA